rnacentral:rRNA from 1 species
GAUGAACGCUGGCGGCGUGCCUAAUACAUGCAAGUAGAACGCUGAAGGAGGAGCUUGCUCUUCUGGAUGAGUUGCGAACGGGUGAGUAACGCGUAGGUAACCUGCCUUGUAGCGGGGGAUAACUAUUGGAAACGAUAGCUAAUACCGCAUGACAACAGUUAUUGCAUGAUAACUGUUUAAAAGGUGCAACUGCUCCACUACCAGAUGGACCUGCGUUGUAUUAGCUAGUUGGUGAGGUAACGGCUCACCAAGGCGACGAUACAUAGCCGACCUGAGAGGGGGGUCGGCCACACUGGGACUGUGACACGGCCCAGACGCCUACGGGAGGCAGCAGUAGGGAAACUUCGGCAAUGGGCGGAAGACUGACCGAGCAACGCCGAGGGAGUGAAGAAGGUUGUCGGAUCGUAAAGCUCGGUUGUAAGAGAAGAACGAGUGUGAGAGUGGAAAGUUCACACUGUGACGGUAUCUGACCAGAAAGAGACGGCUAACUACGUG